AAUACCUGGACAACACGGAUGUUGAUCAAUACUGCUGCUGCAGGGGUCCUGUGAUAAAUACCUGGACAACACGGAUGUUGAUCAAUGCUGCUGCUGCAGGGGUCCUGUGAUAAAUACCUGGACAACACGGAUGUUGUUGAAGAAAAAGUGAACUUUGGAAAUAAAGCUGCACCUCCUGAAUGUUGAGAGUUAUUUGAUAAAGGGGUCAGUGCUCUAAAAUGAGUCUCUCUGGAGAGAGAAAGAAGGGGGGCCCUGCCUCUAAAAUGAGUCUCUCUGGGGGACAUGUCACCAAAACUAAAAGCCCAUUCAAGCAGGAGAGACCAGCCUCCCCUGUUCCCAGCUGUGUGUCCAUGAAGAGUGAUAAGUCUAUGGGUCUACCUAUACUGUUUAGAGAGGGAGACUUUUCUACUGAACAAAGAAACCAACAGGAGAGAUCAGAGUCAGAGAUUCUCAGUGGUCAGUCUUCCCAGAGUCAUCAAACAGACCUGGCCUCCAUAUUCAGUGUAUGUGGUCCUGUUAUGUACAUUUGUUUUUGUUUACCUCAAGUAAAGUUGAUCUGUCAAUCAUUCAUUAAUGUGUUAAUGAGAAAGCAUUUAGUCUCUUGCUUAACUUAUUUACUUUAUUUA